rnacentral:rRNA from 1 species
AGAGUUUGAUCCUGGCUCAGGAUGAACGCUGGCGGCGUGCCUAACACAUGCAAGUCGAACGGGAAUCUUCGGAUUCUAGUGGCGGACGGGUGAGUAACGCGUAAGAAUCUAACUUCAGGACGGGGACAACAGUUGGAAACGACUGCUAAUACCCGAUGUGCCGCAAGGUGAAAACUAAUUGGCCUGAAGAAGAGCUUGCGUCUGAUUAGCUAGUUGGUGGAGUAAGAGCCUACCAAGGCGACGAUCAGUAGCUGGUCUGAGAGGAUGAGCAGCCACACUGGGACUGAGACACGGCCCAGACUCCUACGAAAAACAGCAAUAAAAAAUUUUCCGCAAUGGGCGAAAGCCUGACGGAGCAACGCCGCGUGAGGGAGGAAGGUCUUUGGAUUGUAAACCUCUUUUCUCAAGGAAGAAGUUCUGACGGUACUUGAGGAAUCAGCCUCGGCUAACUCCGUGCCAGCAGCCGCGGUAAUACGGGGGAGGCAAGCGUUAUCCGGAAUUAUUGGGCGUAAAGCGUCCGCAGGUGGUCAGCCAAGUCUGCCGUCAAAUCAGGUUGCUUAACGACCUAAAGGCGGUGGAAACUGGCAGACUAGAGAGCAGUAGGGGUAGCAGGAAUUCCCAGUGUAGCGGUGAAAUGCGUAGAGAUUGGGAAGAACAUCGGUGGCGAAAGCAUGCUACUGGGCUGUAUCUGACACUCAGGGACGAAAGCUAGGGGAGCGAAAGGGA